CCUUCUUCUACAAGGCAAAAAGGAGUUUGAAAGAGACAUUGCACCAAGAGCAAAAUGUGAUACGCAUGAUUAGUCUGCAAGGGAAUGUAAUGUUAAAAUGUCUCUCUGGAAACUGUGACCUAAAAAUGUUCUUCACCCUUGUCUAAGCAAAACCAACAGCCUCCCUCGUCUUAAAUUCCUCCCAAUUGUUUUUAACCCACAUGAGACUCCACACCCACUUCUCCUAAAUGGGGUGGCUUCAAUCCCUCCUCUCUCCAGUGAAGAAGCUCUGGUUUCGCCUGCAUUCAGCUGAAAGAAAGAGAAGAGGGAUAUACAUUUUGUAUGAGGAUGUCAAAUCCUGCCCCUAUGAAGAUGUGCAUGUCCUUUGGUCAAUACUAGUGGAAUCUAAUGCACCUUUGCAACCAAAAAAAUGAGGGCUCCAAUGCACAGAGUUGACAGAAUAUGAGAAAUUUCCAGUUAUUUACACUUCUUAUUUUCUGUCAAGUUCCAGCUAUGUACAUAAAAAUAUUUAUGACAUCUUCACUCAUAUAAAAAAAAAAAAAAAAAAAUUUAAUAUUUUCUUUUUGUGUA